CCAAACCCACAACGAAUCAUCCACCUGCGGCUCUCCCCUCUCCCCUACCUCCCCCGAUCCACAACGCUCCUUCGGUUUUCGUUUUUCGAUUUUCUUCUUAUUCGUGCUGCCUUCGAUGGUCGAUGAUGGUUUUGCAGCGGUGAUGACAAAUUUGUGGACUAGAGUUUCUGAUGCCGCCUCUUCAGCGGCAUCUGCAGACAACCCCUUGGCUGUCUGAGCUCUCCCCCAGAUCUCGCACCAUCGAUCCGUCGCUUCUUCUUCUUGAUUUCUUUUUCCGUCCAUGUUCUUCUCUGUUUGCAUCUUUGGCUGGUCGCGGGGUGUUCCGAGUAGCGGUGAUGACAUCUAUGUGGACUAGAGUUUCUGAUGCUGCCUCUUCAGCAGCGCUCUUGAAGACAACCCCUUGGCUGUCUGAGCUCCCAGAUCCCCCAAAACCGACGCCUUUCACCUUUAGAUUCGAUUGAUUUUUUCUUGGUUUAAUAUAAUUGACGCGCGCGUCCAUUACCGAUUCCGGGGGAUGAUUUGUGUUCCUCACGGGGUAAUGGCUCGGACGCUAGAAGCGAUUCUUGUGUGGUGAUAUCCUGAUUGGUGGCGUCCUCGGUGCCAGCUUAUCCUGGAAACGCCUCAUAUAUUCACCAAACCUUGUUCUACUUUCUUAUGUUUGUGUUUGUGUUUUUGGGAUCUAAAUGAUGCGAUACUUCGAAAGGGAAAUCGCCCACCGUGGCGACCAUGUCAGUUCUUUCACAUUGAUAGGAAGAUCUGAUAGAUUCCACUCAAAACUCUUUUUUGUUACAUUUUCUUGUUUUUGAUCUGUUUAGUAAUGUGUGGAUGUGGAUGAUGAGAUCACAAGUAAAAAUACAGUUAUCCCUGUCUUACUUCCUUGGAAGGGUGCUGAGAGAACUUUGAAUCUGACACAAUUUACUUUGCAUUGCUUGUUUGUUGUUUCCUGCAUUUUUGGUUUUUUCAAGUGUGAAGUCCAUCUUGGCCGGUGAUGAUUAGUAUUGGUUGCAGAACAGGCAACAUAGAUUGUCUGUACAAUGACGACACUUUUGAACUAGGACGGUCUGAGGCUACUUGAUGAUCACUUCACUUUUUUUUAAUAACCAAUGCUUGUUUCUUCUGUUUUUGCUUUUUUUUGCUACUGUUGUUUUUGUUUGCAGGGUGGUUCUACCGAUGGCUGUAUCCUGCGCGGGACAGGAAAAUAGGAAUAGAAUCUUGUUUACAUAAACUGUAGUUUGAUUUUGUUGCAUCUAUUUGUAAUGUAAUUUGCAAGGACAUGAAAUGAUUUUAUAUAUGUUUGUAUUGAAACAACAUUGUAACUUGUUCAUUCGUCGGAUUACACAUGUGAUCUCUGUCUGAGAGCAAUGUAGAUGUGAUGCAUAACCUUAAACUUAUAAUCAGACCUGCACUCUGUUAAUUUCUGUAGAAAAUAAGUCCAAUUGCUCCUGCUGCCGCUGGUGGCUCAUAACUAAGCUACUAAACCAGGUUCUCAGUAACCACCGUUUUGAUUAUAACAAGCUGUACAUUGCACAACAUUGUAACAAAACUGACAAAAGGAAAUUCAAUUGCCUGGCUAUGAACUUUUGAAUUUAACACCACACCCAUGAGUUCUGUGGACCUGAAAGCUGAGCGGGGUUUGCCAUGACCGGUCGAUAUUUGAGGAUCCUAAGGCAUCGGUUAUGUCGACAUUUGAGGAUCCUAAGGCAUCGGUUAUGUCUGAGAAUUAACUGAUGCCAAAAUUUCAGUGUUUGAGAGAUCGUCUAGAGAUGGAAGCACCUUCAAUCACGGGGAAGCAGGAGGUCUUCCAUCUAGCUUUGUUUUGUCACGUGCUGCUUCUAUGCAAUAAUUUGGCUAGCUCAGUUUGACUAACAAUAUUGAUGGAUACUAAUAUAAGAGCGUUUAGAAUUCUAAAGAAGUGAUCUAAACGCUCUUAUAUUAGUUUAGUUUACAGAGGGAGUACUAAUUACUACUGCCAAUCAUCAACGCAAAACUAUCCCAACUCCCAGAUAUUAGUUCUAGAAAAUAAUUGAUUUUGAAAAAACAACAACUGCAAAGCUUAUAUGUUUGUGCAAUUCUGUUGUUUUAAUCUUUGCACUUAGAAUUUCCAUGCCCCUAUUUAGGUGCUUCUCAAGAGGUGAUUGUACAAUAAAAUGAUCUGCCUUCAAAUAUCAUUUUCUUCCUGCUUGCUUUUGUGGCUCUGGAUUUGUAAACUUAAGGGCCUCAGUUUUAAGGGCGGGCAAUAGCCCUCUAUUGAAAAAUAAUAUCAUUUUUCUUGUAAAUGAAGAAAUUUAGAGCAUCAAAGUCUCAAAUUUAUCUGCUAAAAAAUGGUAUCUAUCCUUCAUGUUGUCCAGUAAGUUGAGAUGUGCAUUGCUUAAUUAUGUAUUUACGGCCUUGGCGCUCUUCACGUUGCUUGAGAACCUGAUCAACAGCGCGCCAACAUGCAUCAGGAAGCCGGCGGACGACCAGAGCAGGAAGGCGUGGAGCUUGAGCUGCAGCGACAAGGACGACAGCUUGCGCGGCAGCUGCAAGAAACAACAGUUCAAGUGUUCAACCAAGUGUAAAUUUGCAGUCAGUCAAUGAUUGCAGUUCUACAAUGACACAUUCUGAUUUUUGCAUCCAAAGUUAGAUAAUAACAUGGAAAGAAUCUCUGAAACUUAUUUACAGGGGAGAGAAAAUGUCACAACUAUUUUACUUCCAAUGGCUGAACGCUCUUGUAGCUUUGGUUCAGAUCCUCAGGCUAUCUGAAGCACCAUAGAUUUAGUUUGCAAGCAAAAGGAUCACACAACCUGAUAGUAUAGGGAGCAGUCUUUUUCUUCCAAACUGUAGCUUUGAUGCCUGUCAGUUUGUGGGUAAGUUAUAUUGUGCGACCAAGACGUCAGCUAGCAAGUUGUUGAUCUCUUAUUUUCUGAAAUUUGAUCCUUAUAUAACUGGCUAUUAGUCAAUAUUGUUCAGGUCCCAAAUUCUUGAUUGAACUUGGUCUGUUUUUGUGGCUGUUGAAAGACAGUAUACACCGCAGAGGCUCAGGACAUUCUCUCUAUAUAAUAUAAGCCAGCUUUAGCAGUUCUGCUGGGCUAAUAAAGUAGAGAGCCGUGCUACAUAAUAAUGAUACAAAGAGGAUACUCAAGGAGGUUUUGCACGUGCAUCCAAUUUAAGUAUGCAUCUUCUUGAAUCCAAGUGCAGAACAUUCAUCUUUACCUUGAGACUUAGGAAUGUAGGGACAAGAGUGGACUAUGGAUUCAGAACAGAACCGGCUUGACCAUGGCACAUCUUCACCAAUGAGGCAAUGAGUCAUGUUGUCGGCACCAAUAAUAUUCAAGCUUGUCUGUGAAAAUGAGGAGAGAGAGCAAGGCUGUAUGUGGAUGAAUAAAAAACCCAUGUACAAGCUCCAAGGUAAAAUGAGAGCAACCUUGUACAUUCUCUCACCACCCACUGGAUAAACUAAAUACACUCUAUUGGAAUAGUUGUACAAUGUGUUAUUGGUUAGUGAUAUGAUAAAUUUACCAACAAAUUGAUAACUGAAGA